rnacentral:piRNA from 1 species
UCAGCACUCACACUUGCCCAAUGUCAAGCCA